rnacentral:antisense_RNA from 1 species
UGUGGGAGCGAGCCUGCUCGCGAAGGCGUCGUGUCAGUCAAUGUUUGCUUUACUGACACACCGCUUUCGCGAGCAGGCUCGCUCCCACA